GACAGAGGGUGCAAACGUUGUUCGGAUUUACUGGGCGUAAAGCGCGUGUAGGCGGCUUUGCAAGUCGGAUGUGAAAGCCCACGGCUCAACCGUGGAAGUGCAUCCGAAACUGCAUGGCUCGAGUCUCGGAGAGGAAGGUGGAAUGCUUGGUGUAGAGGUGAAAUUCGUAGAUAUCAAGCAGAACACCUGCGGCGAAGGCGGCCUUCUGGACGAUGACUGACGCUGAGACGCGAAAGCCAGGGGAGCGAACGGG
rnacentral:rRNA from 1 species